GUCUUAGUAGCAUAGUGGUUAGUGUACAGCCCCGGUUUGGGGCGAGACGUGGGUUCGAAUCCCGCAUGAGAUG
rnacentral:tRNA from 1 species